rnacentral:rRNA from 1 species
UACGUAGGGUGCAAGCGUUAACCGGAAUUACUGGGCGUAAAGCGUGCGCAGGCGGUUCGGAAAGAAAGGUGUGAAAUCCCAGGGCUUAACCUUGGAACUGCACUUUUAACUACCGGGCUAGAGUACGUCAGAGGGGGGUAGAAUUCCACGUGUAGCAGUGAAAUGCGUAGAGAUGUGGAGGAAUACCGAUGGCGAAGGCAGCCCCCUGGGAUGAUACUGACGCUCAUGCACGAAAGCGUGGGGAGCAAACAGG